rnacentral:rRNA from 1 species
GACGAACGCUGGCGGCGUGCUUAACACAUGCAAGUCGAACGGUAAAGCCUCUUCGGGGGUACACGAGUGGCGAACGGGUGAGUAACACGUGAGUAACCUGCCCUUGACUUUGGGAUAACAUCUGGAAACAGGUGCUAAUACCGGAUAUGAGCUUGUCCUGCAUGGGAUGGGUUGGAAAGCUCCGGCGGUCAUGGAUGGACUCGCGGCCUAUCAGCUUGUUGGUGAGGUAAGGGCUCACCAAGGCUUCGACGGGUAGCCGGCCUGAGAGGGCGACCGGCCACAUUGGGACUGAGAUACGGCCCAAACUCCUACGGGAGGCAGCAGUGGGGAAUAUUGCACAAUGGGCGGAAGCCUGAUGCAGCAACGCCGCGUGCGGGAUGACGGCCUUCGGGUUGUAAACCGCUUUCAGCAGGGACGAAGCGUGAGUGACGGUACCUGCAGAAGAAGCACCGGCUAACUACGUGCCAGCCGCCGCCGUAA